CUGGAUGCUCUGGUUUUCUCCCACCCCUCAAAGAGGUGCAUGUUCAGUUCACCGGCAUGUCUACAUGGUCCUGGUGUGAGUGUGGGGUGUGUGUGAGUGUGCCCUGCGAUGUGACAGUGUCCUGUUCAGGGCUGGUUCUUACUUUAAGCCCUGAGCUGCUGGAAUGAGCUACAGCAACCGGAGACUGGAGACUCCGGCAACCUAGAGAACUGUUAUUAUUGACGUCAGCCCAAGAAGAAUGCAAUGUCCAGGAAGCUACCAAAGGAAUAAAACUACAUGAGCACAUACUUCUCUUCCAAUUCAAGAGUGGCCCGCCUUAUCCCUUCACAGGCUGACUUCCCAUCUUACUGUGGCAGCCUCUGCUGCUGUUACCUGCUUGAGGCUUUCUUAUUGUGGGCCUCCCACUCGUGUUUCCGAUUGAGGAAGCCUUCCAUCUGGGCCGAAGGUGUCUCCUGGGUUCUGGCUGGGACAGCGGAGAGGCCAUUCAGCUAACUCCGUGAGCCAUGGGGGUGACCACAUACGCUCUACCUGACUCGCACAUGUGGCUGUGUAUAAAUGCCUGGCACAGAUCGAGGCAGUACAGUAAAACCAUUGCACACCCACAAAGCCAGCUGGACAUCAAGGACAUUAGAAGGAAACCAUCUCUGUCACCAGCUUUUAUUUCUAAGGAAAAGGAUUUUUGUGAAAACAUUUUCAAUUCCUGCUGGUGGCCUGAUAGAUACCAUCCUAAAAGCUUCCUUUAUCAGAGAAUUCCACAAAAAGUCUUGAGAAAAUGAACAAUGAAUCAGAAGAUUAAUCCAAGAUGUACAGUGGAGUUUGUCUACAGAGACACUGACAUGACUUCUGAAGCCAGG
ensembl:lncRNA SPTBN1-AS2 SPTBN1 antisense RNA 2